GACGAACGCUGGCGGCGUGCCUAAUACAUGCAAGUAGAACGCUGAAGAGAGGAGCUUACUCUUCUUGGAUGAGUUGCGAACGGGUGAGUAACGCGUAGGUAACCUGCCUUGUAGCGGGGGAUAACUAUUGGAAACGAUAGCUAAUACCGCAUAACAAUGGAUGACACAUGUCAUUUAUUUGAAAGGGGCAAUUGCUCCACUACAAGAUGGACCUGCGUUGUAUUAGCUAGUAGGUGAGGUAAUGGCUCACCUAGGCGACGAUACAUAGCCGACCUGAGAGGGUGAUCGACCACACUGGGACUGAGACACGGCCCAGACUCCUACGGGAGGCAGCAGUAGGGAAUCUUCGGCAAUGGGGGCAACCCUGACCGAGCAACGCCGCGUGAGAGAAGAAGGUUUUCGGAUCGUAAAGCUCUGUUGUAAGUCAAGAACGGGUGUGAGAGUGGAAAGUUCACACUGUGACGGUAGCUUACCAGAAAGGGACGGCUAACUACGUG
rnacentral:rRNA from 1 species